AAUGAUGCCACGAACAAAUCGGUGCCCGGAACAUUUGUGACUUAUUUAUGCACCAGAUGCUUGCUUAGAUUUUCAACGCAAGUGAAUUUGCAAAGGGGACUUUGAGAUUUCUGGCCUAGACCAAUAUCUACAGCCUUUUUCGCCCAGUUCGGUUGGGACUCCGUGCCUAGCAAAAUCCUGAAUUUUGUGAAAUUCCUGGGAAAUCUGCAAGCUCAGCUGAAGGGCACCAGGUUGGAGAAGAGUAGCAAGCAAACGUCCGGCAUGUCAGCGAGUAUCUUAAGGAUAUAUUUGUUUACAGCAGCUUUGAGUUGGCUAAGAGAUUCGGAUGCCAAGUUUCUGUUCACAGGGUAAGGUUGCAGAAGAGAAGCGAAGGACCACUUCAGCAAAAAGACAUCCAAAAUAGUCUAUGGAGAUUCUCCGUCAUCCAGGUCAUGAUUGUCCUCAAAGGUGCCGACACCUCCCUAUCCUGCCUUUUUUGUCCUGCUUACUGACAAUUGUCGUGCGUGUUACUGUUGUGGCCUGUAUGCGGCCUGUGCAGCUAGUAGCUGAUUCUGACAGCGAGGAGGCUGGUGUGGUGCUAUGCUAGCAGCCUGUGCAGCUGGCACUCGAGUCGGACAGUGAGGAGGCUGGAGAAGAUGUGGUGCCAGAGGCAGGGAUUCAGCCAGGGCCUUCAGAACCUCCAGAAGCUCCUAUAAGUGAAGAGGAUGAAGAGGAGGAGCCUCUUCUCGAUGCACGGGCGCGCAGAGCUGCCAAAAGGCAGGAGUAGCUCCUCAGGAGGAGGUCUCCUCGAGAGUAAGGCUUGGGGCUAAUUGGCCACUCCCUUAGCCUAUUUAAGGAGGAACGCCGACUGAAGCAAUUUGCAGGAAACAACUUCAUUCAUAUUCCUUUGCGUCUUGAUUCCAGAAACGUCUGAUCGGCUCUUGCUCUUUUUUUGUCAAGUUUUCCUGCAAAUUGCUUCUGGGCAUUCUGCCAACCACAGUAAGAUUAUCUGAAAUACUGUGUUUCACAAUUGAGUCAUUAUUCUUUGGAUUCUUGUCGGCUGUUAAUGAAGUUAAAUUAACAGCCCUUGUUCAGAAAAGACUGAUUUAAACUGUACUUGUGU